CCUACGGGAGGCAGCAGUGGGGAAUAUUGGACAAUGGGCGAAAGCCUGAUCCAGCCAUGCCGCGUGUGUGAAGAAGGCCUUCGGGUUGUAAAGCACUUUCAGUGGGGAAGAAAGCCUUGGGGCUAAUACCCUCGAGGAAGGACAUCACCCACAGAAGAAGCACCGGCUAACUCCGUGCCAGCAGCCGCGGUAAUACGGAGGGUGCGAGCGUUAAUCGGAAUUACUGGGCGUAAAGCGCGCGUAGGCGGUCUGAUAAGCCGGUUGUGAAGGCCCCGGGCUCAACCUGGGAACGGCAUCCGGAACUGUCAGGCUAGAGUGCAGGAGAGGAAGGUAGAAUUCCCGGUGUAGCGGUGAAAUGCGUAGAGAUCGGGAGGAAUACCAGUGGCGAAGGCGGCCUUCUGGACUGACACUGACGCUGAGGUGCGAAAGCGUGGGUAGCAAACAGGAUUAGAUACCCUGGUAGUC
rnacentral:rRNA from 1 species